UGGAUGAUGUGGUUUAAUUCGAAGCAACGCGAAGAACCUUACCAGGGCUUGACAUCCCUCUGACAGUCCCUUAACCGGGACCUUCUUCGGACAGAGGAGACAGGUGGUGCAUUGGUUGUCGUCAGCUCGUGUCGUGAGAUGUUGGGUUAAGUCCCGCAACGAGCGCAACCCUUGUCUUUAGUUGCCAUCAUUCAGUUGGGCACUCUAGAGAGACUGCCGAGGACAACUCGGAGGAAGGUGGGGAUGACGUCAAAUCAUCAUGCCCCUUAUGUCCUGGGCUACACACGUGCUACAAUGGCUGGUACAAAGAGACGCAAGACCGCGAGGUGGAGCAAAUCUCAAAAACCAGUCCCAGUUCGGAUUGCAGGCUGCAACUCGCCUGCAUGAAGUCGGAGUUGCUAGUAAUCGCAGAUCAGAAUGCUGCGGUGAAUGCGUUCCCGGGUCUU
rnacentral:rRNA from 2 species